UAGGGAAUCUUCCACAAUGGACGCAAGUCUGAUGGAGCAACGCCGCGUGAGUGAAGAAGGUUUUCGGAUCGUAAAGCUCUGUUGUUGGUGAAGAAGGAUAUAGGUAGUAACUGGCCUUUAUUUGACGGUAAUCAACCAGAAAGUCACGGCUAACUACGUGCCAGCAGCCGCGGUAAUACGUAGGUGGCAAGCGUUGUCCGGAUUUAUUGGGCGUAAAGCGAGCGCAGGCGGAAGAAUAAGUCUGAUGUGAAAGCCCUCGGCUUAACCGGGGAACUGCAUCGGAAACUUUUUGUCUUGAGUGCAGAAGAGGAGAGUGGAAUUCCAUGUGUAGCGGUGGAAUGCGUAGAUAUAUGGAAGAACACCAGUGGCGAAGGCGACUCUCUGGUCUGCAACUGACGCUGAGGCUCGAAAGCAUGGGUAGCGAACAGG
rnacentral:rRNA from 1 species